ACUCCGGGAAACCGGGGCUAAUACCGGAUGCUUGAUUGAACCGCAUGGUUCAAUUAUAAAAGGUGGCUUUUAGCUACCACUUACAGAUGGACCCGCGGCGCAUUAGCUAGUUGGUGAGGUAACGGCUCACCAAGGCAACGAUGCGUAGCCGACCUGAGAGGGUGAUCGGCCACACUGGGACUGAGACACGGCCCAGACUCCUACGGGAGGCAGCAGUAGGGAAUCUUCCGCAAUGGACGAAAGUCUGACGGAGCAACGCCGCGUGAGUGAUGAAGGUUUUCGGAUCGUAAAACUCUGUUGUUAGGGAAGAACAAGUACCGUUCGAAUAGGGCGGUACCUUGACGGUACCUAACCAGAAAGCCACGGCUAACUACGUGCCAGCAGCCGCGGUAAUACGUAGGUGGCAAGCGUUGUCCGGAAUUAUUGGGCGUAAAGCGCGCGCAGGCGGUUUCUUAAGUCUGAUGUGAAAGCCCCCGGCUCAACCGGGGAGGGUCAUUGGAAACUGGGGAACUUGAGUGCAGAAGAGGAGAGUGGAAUUCCACGUGUAGCGGUGAAAUGCGUAGAGAUGUGGAGGAACACCAGUGGCGAAGGCGACUCUCUGGUCUGUAACUGACGCUGAGGCGCGAAAGCGUGGGGAGCGAACAGGAUUAGAU
rnacentral:rRNA from 1 species